CCCAAUAGAUUUUUUAAAUAGCCGCGGUAAUUAGACCGUGCAAAGGUAGCAUAAUCAUUUGCUCUAUAAUUGGGGGCUGGAAUGAAUGGAAUUUCAAGAUUUCUUCUUUAUUUGGGAAAGGUUAAUAAUUUUCUUUCUUAGUGAAGAAGCUGGGGUGUGUCUGUGGGACAAGAAGACCCUUUUGAGCUUUACUAGUAUUGCUUUUUUAAAGCUUAGUUAGUUUGGUUGGGGCGACCAAGGAAGGUGUAUCUUCCUUUUAUUACAUUGAUCCAGGGAUUCUGAUCAACGAAAUAAGCUACCAAAGGGAUAACAGCGUAAUUUUUUUUAUGAGUUCUUAUUAAAAAAAAAGAUUGCGACCUCGAUGUUGACUUAUGGUUUCCCAUUGGUGCAGCAGCUGACAGGGUAGGUCUGUUCGACCUUUAAAGCCUUACGUGAUCUGAGUUCAGACCA
rnacentral:rRNA from 1 species